rnacentral:rRNA from 1 species
GGUGGCCGCAGAGAAUCGGUCUGAGCGACUGUUUAUCAAAAACACAGGACUCUGCUAACUCGAAAGAGGAUGUAUAGAGUCUGAAACCUGCCCACUGCUGGAAGGUUAAGGAGAGGUGUGCAAGCGCCGAACUGAAGCCCCAGUGAAGGGCGGCGGUAACUAUAACCGUCCUAAGGUAGCGAAAUUCCUUGUCAGGUAAGUUCUGACCCGCAUGAAAGGUUCAACGACUUGGACGCUGUCUUGACUGAGUGCUCGGUGAAAUUGAAGCACAGGUGUAAACGCCUGUGACCCGCGGCUGGACAAAAAGACCCCGUGGAGCUUUACUAUAGCUUGAUACUGGGUUUUAGCAUUCGUUGUGUAGGAUAGGUGGGAGGCGAUGAAGCUGGGGCGCUAGCCUCGGUGGAGCCGUCCUUGGAAUACCACCCUGCGGAUGUUGAGGCUCUAACCGUCGGCCGUUAGCAGCGGUCGCGGAACAGUGUUAGGUGGGUAGUUUGACUGGGGCGGUCGCCUCCUAAAGAGUAACGGAGGCGCACAAAGGUCUCCUCAGGCUGGUUGGUGAUCAGCCAUUGAGUGUAAGGGUAUAAGGAGGCUUGACUGCGAGACCUACAAGUCGAGCAGGUGCGAAAGCAGGUCCUAGUGACCCAGUGGCACUUUGUGGAAUGGCCACUGCUCAUCGGACAAAAGUUACCCCGGGGAUAACAGGCUAGUCUGGUCCAAGAGUUCACAUCGACGACCAGGAUCGGCACCUCGAUGUCGGCUCAUCCUAUCCUGGGGCUGAAUCAGGUCCCAAGGGUCCGGCUGUUCGCCGGUUAAAAGGGUACGCGAG